rnacentral:rRNA from 1 species
UGGGGAAUUUUCCGCAAUGGGCGCAAGCCUGACGGAGCAAUACCGCGUGAGGGAGGAAGGCUUUUGGGUUGUAAACCUCUUUUCUCAAGGAAGAAGUCCUGACGGUACUUGAGGAAUCAGCAUCGGCUAACUCCGUGCCAGCAGCCGCGGUAAUACGGAGGGGGUUAGCGUUGUUCGGAAUUACUGGGCGUAAAGCGCGCGUAGGCGGAUUGGAAAGUUGGGGGUGAAAUCCCGGGGCUCAACCCCGGAACUGCCUCCAAAACUAUCAAUCUAGAGUUCGAGAGAGGUGAGUGGAAUUCCGAGUGUAGAGGUGAAAUUCGUAGAUAUUCGGAGGAACACCAGUGGCGAAGGCGGCUCACUGGCUCGAUACUGACGCUGAGGUGCGAAAGUGUGGGGAGCAAACAGGAUUAGAUACCCCGGUAGUCC